AGGUCUCCCUGCGCGCCCUUAUAUACGGCUGCAGUAGUAGUGCUACACUACUACUUUAUGCUAUCUUUCUGCAUAAGCACACGAAGAAAAGAGAUUGACAAGGACAAAUCAUAUGGAUCUCCAAAUAAAUCUAACAUCAGAUCUAAAUAUCUUAACAACUUUAAACCCAAAAAGUAGACUCACGGCCGGGCAAGCACAAGCCGGCCUUCUAGCCACCACGAACGGUCAACCUCCAAACGACACCCAAAUAUGCACAUGAUAAUUCCGACCAAAAACCACACCACAGCCUGAUGAUCCAUCUUUACUUGUGACAGAUUCAACCCCAAAUCCAUCUUUAUAAACAUAUAUACGGUCGGACUUGAUCUAGCCACAGUACGAUAACCACACACAGUCCAUAGAAACCCCACAUCCAUAAAUUAAGCACACCGCCAAUACCUAGCCUGCACAUACCUGCCGCAGAAACCCUGCCAGAUCUGCCAGCUCGGAACUCCGCCACCCCCCCCCCCCCCUUCUCUCUCUUCUCUCCCUCCCCCCUUCCUUCCCACAAGCGGAACCACAGAUCUUCCACAGAAGAAAAUCUUCCUCAGAUUCGACAGGCAAGGAGAAAGCUUGUGUUUGGUUGCUUCGUGAAACCUGGGACAACAUUUAUAGACGAUUGGCGUAUUCUCCUUCGACCACAUCGAUGAGCACUGUUGGAUUUCCCAGGCGAAGAUGGCGACGUUUAGGUCAGGUUAGGCAACGGGGACCGCAACACGUUCCGUUCAUGAGCCUUUUCCCACGUGAUCAAGAUUUUCAGAAGAAUAUUAAUUGAUCAGUGACAUCUAGCUAGGUUUGAUUAUUUCUGUUUUGCAUUGUGGCGCAUUAUUAUUUUUAGUUAAAUGGGUUAUUCUUUGGAAGACCGGAUUUGCAGCAAUAUAUAUAAAAUUUCAUGAUCAGCUAUA